CAUGGGCGGCGGUAGUCACUUACCAUCAGAAACCAAAUCAUUACGCCAAUACAUCUGUGUCAAGCCAUAAUACAUAUCAAGAGGAGAAUGUAGAACUAAUUAAAGAGCCCGAAG
rnacentral:misc_RNA from 1 species